GCCUGCAUGAAGUUGGAAUCACUAGUAAUCGCGGAUCAGCAUGCCGCGGUGAAUGCGUUCUCGGGCCUUGUACACACCGCCCGUCACACCAUGAGAGUCGGGAACACCCGAAGUCCGUAGCCUAACCGCAAGGGGGGCGCGGCCGAAGGUGGGCUCGAUAAUUGGGGUGAAGUCGUAACAAGGUACC
rnacentral:rRNA from 1 species